GAUGAACGCUGGCGGCGUGCCUAAUACAUGCAAGUCGAGCGAACAGACGAGGAGCUUGCUCCUCUGACGUUAGCGGCGGACGGGUGAGUAACACGUGGAUAACCUACCUAUAAGACUGGGAUAACUUCGGGAAACCGGAGCUAAUACCGGAUAAUAUAUUGAACCGCAUGGUUCAAUAGUGAAAGACGGUUUUGCUGUCACUUAUAGAUGGAUCCGCGCCGCAUUAGCUAGUUGGUAAGGUAACGGCUUACCAAGGCAACGAUGCGUAGACGACCUGAGAGGGUGGUCGGCCACACUGGAACGGAGACACGGUCCAGACUCCUACGGGAGGCAGCAGUAGGGAAUCUGCCGCAAUGGGCGAGAGCCUGACGGAGCAACGCCGCGUGAGUGAUGAAGGUCUUCGGAUCGUAAAACUCUGUUUUUAGGGAAGAACAAAUGUGUAAGUAACUGUGCACGUCUUGACGGUACCUAAUCAGAAAGCCACGGCUAACUACGUG
rnacentral:rRNA from 1 species